rnacentral:sRNA from 1 species
UUUAAGUUGGGGACUGCCUAACAAUAGACUGACUAGUAGCAAGUCACCCUCCUACUUAGACCUAAGACAGACCAGCAUUCUCUGCUGUGCCCUCUGCACACCCCACUUCUUUUCCACACACUGGGGAUGGCCCAGGCCAGGAACUGCCCUGUUGCCCACACUCUCCUGUUAAGGUCAGGUCCCCCUGCAGCCAGUGACAGCCCCAGAUUCCUGCUUCCCCUCCAGUACGCCCGUUUGGUGGAGAUCGUGGGCAUGCAUGACCUUGGCGUGGGCAUUACCCUGGGGGCCCACCAGAGCAUCGGUUUCAAAGGCAUCUUGCUCUUUGGCACAAAGGCCCAGAAAGAAAAAUACCUCCCCAAGCUGGCAUCUGGGGAGACUGUGGCCGCUUUCUGUCUAACUGAGCCCUCAAGCGGGUCAGAUGCAGCCUCCAUCCGAACCUCUGCUGUGCCCAGCCCCUGUGGAAAAUACUAUACCCUCAAUGGAAGCAAGCUUUGGAUCAGGCAAUCUGCCUCCCAUUUCUCCCCUUCUCCUCCACCCAAUUCCAGGCCCCACUGCUCCCCGUCCU